GGGGCGGGGAGUUACUGUCGGAAUUAAUGUCCCAGAGCAUUUAAUGCUGCUUGGGUGCCGCUAUGGGGUUAGGCGAGCGGGUGCCAAGAAUAGAGAGCAAGGAUUAAUGUAGGAGGAAAGGAGAUGGAGCGGCGCUUUAGACAUCACCUAGUAACGAGCCUGACCAGAUGCAGAGGAAUACUUAUGGUCCAGGUAGCUGGGUUCGCAAGAUUGAGAUGCAGGUUAAGCUUUGGAUGCGAGCCCGAGACAAGAGGCCAAGAGUGAGCUGCCAACGUUCGGGAUAUCCAAGGGCGCGAAGGUGGGUGGCACUGGUCAGGUGAACAGACUGAGAGACAGCAGCAGCCUGGAAUUGCUGACUUUUUGGGUAAAAAGGAGGUGAAGACCGGUGGCGCCAGUGAAGUCUUUAGACAUGGGGAGUGAGACAAGAGCCGAAGACUCGGGCGGAAGAGCAAGGCUGGUUCAGAGGGCGACUGUGAGGCUGUGGAAGCCCACAGGUUCUCUGUGGAGGUGCUCUCAUCAGAGGCACCAUCUCGAGCUGUUUCUGUGUUACUGCACAGGAAUAAAUUGCUUUAUGGAACGAGGUGUCUGAGGCUCUGCUAUGGGAAAUGUGCGGUCGAACCGGUAAGGAAACCUGGUGUGACUAUGCGAGAGGAGGGUGUGGGGAGAUGUUCAAGCGGGGCGCCCCGCACCUCCCUGGAGCCGCCCGCCGCGCAGGGGCUGCGCCUCCGGCCCUGAAAGCCUUUGGGCCUGCGUGUGUGACGGGCAGAGUUUGCUGAAGGGUCACACUGGGAAGCUUCCGAGCACCCGUGACAGAAUCAGAAAGUUGCAUUCUGGUAAAUGAGGCUAAGUUGGCAGCGACGUAGAGGAAUGCAAACAUGCAUGCGGACGGCCUGUAUGAGAACGUAGUAAAGAAAGCAAAAUAUUUGCCAUCUUAGAAGAAAGGCAAGUUUUUAUUUACAAGAUGGCAACAUGGGGUAACCACGAGUCAUCUCUGUGUUCUUCAGGAGGAAGUAUUUAAUCUCAACUUCUUUUCAAGUGGACACAUGCUCAGCCACAAAUAGUUUUGUUCUCACAGUUUACUCCCCAGCUAAGACCAGGACACCCUCAUUCCAUGUCAAAUAUUUCAGAAUGGUAUCAAUAAAAAGCCCUGUGAUUACAAUGUCA